GAUCCUGGCUCAGGAUGAACGCUAGCUACAGGCUUAACACAUGCAAGUCGAGGGGAAACGAUAGAGAAAGCUUGCUUUUUCUAGGCGUCGACCGGCGCACGGGUGAGUAACGCGUAUCCAACCUGCCCAUCACUUGGGGAUAACCUUGCGAAAGUAAGACUAAUACCCAAUGACGUCUCUAGAAGACAUCUGAAAGAGAUUAAAGAUUUAUCGGUGAUGGAUGGGGAUGCGUCUGAUUAGCUUGUUGGCGGGUAACGGCCCACCAAGGCGACGAUCAGUAGGGGUUCUGAGAGGAAGGUCCCCCACAUUGGAACUGAGACACGGUCCAAACUCCUACGGGAGGCAGCAGUGAGGAAUAUUGGUCAAUGGACGAGAGUCUGAACCAGCCAAGUAGCGUGCAGGAUGACGGCCCUAUGGGUUGUAAACUGCUUUUAUAAGGGAAUAAAGUGAGUCUCGUGAGACUUUUUGCAUGUACCUUAUGAAUAAGGACCGGCUAAUUCCGUG
rnacentral:rRNA from 1 species